AUGAACGCUAGCUACAGGCUUAACACAUGCCAGUCGAGGGGAAACGACAUCGAAAGCUUGCUUUUGAUGGGCGUCGACCGGCGCACGGGUGAGUAACGCGUAUCCAACCUGCCCACCACUUGGGGAUAACCUUGCGAAAGUAAGACUAAUACCCAAUGAUAUCUCUAGAAGACAUCUGAAAGAGAUUAAAGAUUUAUCGGUGAUGGAUGGGGAUGCGUCUGAUUAGCUUGUUGGCGGGGUAACGGCCCACCAAGGCAACGAUCAGUAGGGGUUCUGAGAGGAAGGUCCCCCACAUUGGAACUGAGGCACGGUCCAAACUCCUACGGGAGGCAGCAGUGAGGAAUAUUGGUCAAUGGACGAGAGUCUGAACCAGCCAAGUAGCGUGCAGGAAGACGGCCCUAUGGGUUGUAAACUGCUUUUAUAAGGGAAUAAAGUGAGUCUCGUGAGACUUUUUGCAUGUACCUUAUGAAUAAGGACCGGCUAAUUCCGUG
rnacentral:rRNA from 1 species